rnacentral:rRNA from 1 species
GACGAACGCUGGCGGCGUGCCUAAUACAUGCAAGUAGAACGCUGAAGGAGGAGCUUGCUUCUCCGGAUGAGUUGCGAACGGGUGAGUAACGCGUAGGUAACCUGCCUGGUAGCGGGGGAUAACUAUUGGAAACGAUAGCUAAUACCGCAUAACAGUAGAUGUUGCAUGACAUUUGCUUAAAAGGUGCAAUUGCAUCACUACUAGAUGGACCUGCGUUGUAUUAGCUAGUUGGUGAGGUAACGGCUCACCAAGGCGACGAUACAUAGCCGACCUGAGAGGGUGCGCGGCCAAGCUGGGACUGAGACACGGCCCAGACUACUGCGGGAGGCAGCAGGAGGGGACCUUCGGGGAUGGACGGAAGUCUGACCGAGGAACGCCGGGUGAGUGAAGAAGGUUUUCGGGUCGUGAAGCUCUGUUGUAAGAGAAGAACGAGUGUGAGAGUGGAAAGUUCACACUGUGACGGUAUCUUACCAGAAAGCUACGGCUAACUACGUG